GGCCCCGUCGUCUAGCGGCCUAGGACGUCAGGUUUUCAUCCUGAAGAUCACGGGUUCGAAUCCCGUCGGGGUCACCA
rnacentral:tRNA from 1 species